UGGAAGAGGUGCUAGAAAUAGCCGUACACCCAGUCAGAGGACUCCGAAUUGGUGGGUAUGAGAUAUCUGAGGAUGAACCUUUUAGAUGAGGUAUCCAUACCUUAUCUUUCUCAUGAAGCCAUUUCCAUAUUCAGAAGAUCGACCACAGAUGCACUUUAACACUUCCCAACAAAAAAGGGAGAUGUGCGAUUGAGGGCACAUUUAUUAAAUGCAAGAGGAUGCUCCAUGCUUAUAUAAAUAAUAAAACAGCUCAAAAGUACAUUAUGUGUGAAAAUCUGAGAUAUCCUUACAGUUUAAAGAUAAUAUGUCCCUUUUGAAACCAACAUUUAAUUCUGUAGAACUUUGCAGGAAUUAUGAAUAUGUCGGUAUGUCCUAUCUGUGACAUUCAAACAUUAGCAGUGUCCUAGUAUUCAAUGAGAACUGAUAUAGAUUUAUAUAAGUAAUAUCUUAUAUCUGAGAAAUGAUAAGACAUUUGAGUGCUCUCUUAAAGGAGUUUGGAGGUUUUAUAUUUCAGAUAUUGUAAGGUAGAGAAUUCCAUACAUCUGGACCCCUGUGUCUGAUUGAUUUCUAGGCUAAUGUAGUACGAGGUUUGACGACAUGUAAAUUCGAUAACUGCCUUGUUGAAUAUGAGUGAACCAUGUUAGGUUAGAACAUCGAAGAUAAUGAAGUAGAUAACAAUUUGAUAUUGAAACGGAACAUUAAUAUGGCAAUUUGGUGGAGGAAGUUAAUAUCAUUAACCUUGAAGCAUUUCAGUUUAACAAAUAGUAGGGCAGCAUGGUAGCAUGUCGGAAAUCUUCUUUUUUUUAAUAAGUUUUUUCGCCCUCUUUGGGCUGAUAUUUCUCAGUUUUGAAUGCUUUAAUGUUUUUUUCUCUCUAAAAAACGGUUUUAUUUGUUUAUAUUUUUGUUAAAACCGACCAUAUUUUUUGGGGCCAAAAUCAAACGGCGCACUACGUUUCGGGCAAACGGGGCUGCCGUGGCCGCCGGGAACGUAGCAUAAGCAGCUCUAUAUACCACCGCCUCACAAAAAAA